CCUACGGGUGGCUGCAGUGGGGGAUAUUGCACAAUGGGCGGAACCCUGAAGCAGCGACGCAGCGUGGAUGAAGAAGCGCCUCGGCGCGUAAAGCCCUGUCUGCAGGGAAGUAAAUGACGGUACCUGAAGCAGAAGCCCCGGCUAACUACGUGCCAGCAGCCGCGGUACUACGGAGGGGGCAAGCGUUAUCCGGAUUUACUGGGUGUAAAGGGGGCGCAGACGGGGAUGCAAGCCAGGAGUGAAAGCCCGGGGCCCAACCCCGGGAUUGCACGUGGUACUGCGUGGCUGGAGUGCAGGAGGGGCAGGCGGAAUUCCUGGUGUAGCGGUGAAAUGCGUAGAUAUCAGGAGGAACACCGGUGGCGAAGGCGGCCUACUGAACUGCAACUGACGUUGAGGCCCGAAAGCGUGGGGAGCAAACAGGAUUAGAUACCCCAGUAGUC
rnacentral:rRNA from 1 species